rnacentral:rRNA from 1 species
AUGUUAGGGUCGUUCGAGCUGGUCCUCCUCCCGCUCCUCGCGCUGCUCUUCCCCUCCCCCGCCCCCGCCAGUGUCGCCUCGCUGUGCCCGCUCGCGGCGACCUCCAACGCCUCCUCCCACACCUACGCCCGCCCCGUAUCCCACCUUCUUCGACGAUGUCGUCGACAAGUAUGGCUGGGACACCGACGCCCAGGUCCAGUCGCGCUGGCGUGGGCCAACCGACGGGGCCGUCGAUUGGGGUCGCUCCGACGCCCCCACGGUGGAGGAGGUGGUCGGGCCCGACGGGGUCGACUUCGUCGCCGGCGAUGA